AGAGUUUGAUCCUGGCUCAGGAUGAACGCUAGCGACAGGCCUAACACAUGCAAGUUGAGGGGUAUUGCAGCAAUGCAAGAGACCGGCGCACGGGUGCGUAACGCGUAUGUAACCUGCCUUACACAGAGGGAUAGCCUUCCGAAAGGGAGAUUAACACCACAUAACAUCAAGAUGCCGCAUGGUAUUUUGCUUAAAUCUCAGGAGGUGUAAGAUGGGCAUGCGUAUGAUUAGCUAGUUGGCGGGGUAACGGCCCACCAAGGCGACGAUCAUUAGGGGUUCUGAGAGGAAGAUCCCCCACACUGGUACUGAGACACGGACCAGACUCCUACGGGAGGCAGCAGUGAGGAAUAUUGGUCAAUGGGCGCAAGCCUGAACCAGCCAUGUCGCGUGCAGGACGACUGCCCUAUGUGUUGUAAACUGCUUUUGUAUGGGAAGAAACGACGGCACGAGUGCUGUUUUGCCGGUACCAUACGAAUAAGGAUCGGCUAACUCCGUGCCAGCAGCCGCGGUAAUACGGAGGAUCCGAGCGUUAUCCGGAUUUAUUGGGUUUAAAGGGUGCGUAGGCGGGAUAUUAAGUCAGUGGUGAAAGUUCGACGCUCAACGUUAAAAUUGCCAUUGAUACUGGUUUUCUUGAGUACAGUUGAGGUAGCUGGAAUAAGUAGUGUAGCGGUGAAAUGCAUAGAUAUUACUUAGAACACCAAUUGCGAAGGCAGGUUACCAAGAUAUAACUGACGCUGAGGGACGAAAGCGUGGGGAGCGAACAGGAUUAGAUACCCUGGUAGUCG
rnacentral:rRNA from 1 species